GACGAACGCUGGCGGCGUGCUUAACACAUGCAAGUCGAACGGAGAGGCCCUGCUUUUGUGGGGUGCUCGAGUGGCGAACGGGUGAGUAACACGUGAGUAACCUGCCCUUGACUUUGGGAUAACUUCAGGAAACUGGGGCUAAUACCGGAUAGGAGCUCCUGCUGCAUGGUGGGGGUUGGAAAGUUUCGGCGGUUGGGGAUGGACUCGCGGCUUAUCAGCUUGUUGGUGGGGUAGUGGCUUACCAAGGCUUUGACGGGUAGCCGGCCUGAGAGGGUGACCGGCCACAUGGGGACUGAGAUACGGCCCAGACUCCUACGGGAGGCAGCAGUGGGGAAUAUUGCACAAUGGGCGGAAGCCUGAUGCAGCAACGCCGCGUGCGGGAUGACGGCCUUCGGGUUGUAAACCGCUUUCGCCUGUGACGAAGCGUGAGUGACGGUAAUGGGUAAAGAAGCACCGGCUAACUACGUG
rnacentral:rRNA from 1 species